rnacentral:lncRNA from 1 species
AGCGUGGACUCCCUGGGCACCCUCCCCCCAGCAGCUGUCUGCAGGAGCUGCGAGCUGCUAGCUGCGCUAUCACAAAUGUUAAAAUGUAACUCCUCUUUGCUUUUCCUCAACCAACAGCAGCGCAGCCGAGCAAAGGUGAACUGUGUGGUGUUGAUAAUCUAAUCGGGAGCACAGGGCCUCCCCGGGUGGGUGCCCCAUUCCGAUCCGCUGCCCCUGAGAGGUGGGCCUUGGGAGAGGCAGGGCUUGGACGCCCUUCCUCGGGGCAGCGGGGUGCAGGGAGAGUUCUUCUGGCUGUGAGUCCCGGAGUCCCCGACCCUGGCACCCCUUCAGCAAGGUUCUCAGGCACAUCUGCCGGGGGCGCUGAGGGGACCUGAGAUGGACGGGCCGGGAGGGAGGCUGAGGACGUGGCUGGCCUGGUCUGCCCCCAGCUGAGCCUCACCUGAGGGAGAGCUGGGGUGGGCCGCCUCGUUUACGACCGUGUAGUCGUCUUUUGCACACAAAGCCAUGUGAGUCCGUACGUGAGUCCUGUGGAAAGACAAGACAUGGAAUAGGAGUGACGUCCGUCCCCAGGCAUGAAGUGGAGAGCAUCACGCUGUGUGAGUUAAACACUGGCCAAGCACGGUGUGAGUCGGAGCCGGGGACCUGGCCAGAUGAGGGCUGCGUGCAGCUUUCACACCCCAGGCACGUGAGCACCGCCAAGCCCAGCCUCAGCCAGCAGCUGCUCUGCAAUGUGGAGUCACCAGUGGCCCCAAGGAUGGCAGGUGGGGGUGGCCUUGGGACUGAAUUAGGCCGACACCCAAGGCCUCUGUUCCUUCCCGUCCCUUCUCUCCCUUCGGAGGAUCAAAUGAGAGUUUCUAGGAAAGAAAACAUGGCCAGGCCCUCCUCCAGCGCCCAGGCAGGGCUCGAGCGGACGCCCGUGUGACCCCCACAUCCCUUCUACCCCUGUAGCUCUCUGACUCUGAUAUCCCAGUGGGAGGAACGAGGAGGGGACGGGUGAGGAGGAGGAAGAGGAGGAGACAUGAGGGUUAGGAGGAGCACAUCCUGAGUUUGUGAGGCUUCACUGACCUCUGGCCUCACAAACACACACAGGCCUGAGCUCCGGAUAUUUCUCCUGUUCUGGAGACAGUGAGAAGUGAAAGAGAAAUGGCUGCCCCUGCACCACUUACCGCGAAGGAGGCUCAAGGCUGGGGGGCCCCUCUGCCUUCCAGUGACCGCCCGUGUCACAUCCUGACCCGCUCAGCAGGAGAACACAGCAGGUCCCUCCGACCGCAGUCGGCCUCUCCAGCCUGCCAUGCCUCUGGCCAUGAGGCGACCCGCUGGAGUGAUGGAUUCCCGUCACUACCACCCACAGGGCGAGGGGGUGCAUUGGUCUGCUUGGGCCGCUGUAACAAAAUGCCACAGCCUGGAUGAGUGACUGACAUUGCUUCCCCACCGUUCUGGAGGCUGGAGGCCCGAGAUCGAGGUCCCUGACACUAUUUCAGUGAUGCCAGAGCCCAGGAGGAGUCGACCAAGCCCCAGCGUGGCCAUAAGCACCUUCGCAGGACCACGGAGUCGCUGCAGGUGUUCAGCCCUGUUGAGAGUGGGAGUCGGUGUCGAUGGUCACAGCUCAGUAACUCAUCGUCACCAGCGAGUACCACAGAGCAGACACAACUGCACUUCUCUGUAGAGCCUCCAGUCGAUACUGAGAGCCACUGGGGCGUCUGACACCCAAGGGUGCAGACAUUCACUCCAAGUCCAGAGACCGCGCCCUUUCUAAGGCCCUGUCUCACAGUCGCCCCGUGCUCAUUGUGCCGGAUGUUUCCACAGCCACAGAGACGGUGCGUGAAGGUGAGGUGCAGCCUAGUGCAUAUGACUGACAGAAACGUGAAGCCACAGUGGACGCCUGGAUGAGACACAGAUCACCUUCCAAAUCUGAGUGUGGCCUUGGGACCAACCAGGCAGCCAGGGAGAAGGCAGAGACCAGAGGGAACCCAGUGGCUGCAGGCUCCAGGCGCCACUUUCCUUGAGUCUAUGUUCUUUCCAAGCAUCCUGCAGCUCCAGAAGCUCUGGAGCCGCCAGCACUGAGAGAAGCGAUGGAGCUGCAUGCAGGGUGAGUGUAGGACCGGGCGGAGCUGCUCUGUGGCUGGCGGGCACAUUCUUUGUCAACAUGAGCAUCUCUCACUGUUCCUAGACCCCCUGGCUCCCCAGCUUCCUUGGAGCCAGGCGUGGCCACAGGAAAAUGUUUAGGUCAAUGACAGGAAACUUUGUUGACAGCGGUGUCUGGAUGGACCAGCAGAGGGCACUCUCACCCACGGGGAAAAUCGUGCGCCCGGCCUCGUCCACCGCCAGAAGACGCCGCUACACAAUGGAGUCUCGCUCUGUCGACCAGGCUGGAGUGCAAUGGUGCGAUCUCGGCUCACUGCAAUCUCUGCCUCCCGGUGAGAGGUGAAGCCAGCUGGACUUCCUGGGUCUAGUGGGGACUUGGAGAACUUUUCUGUCUAGCUAAAGAUUUGUAAAUGCACCAAUCAGUGCUGUGUCUAGCUAAAGUUUGUAAACGUACCAAUCAGCACUCUGUAAAAAUGGGCCAAUCAGCACUCUGUAAAAUGGACCAAUCAGCACUCUGUAAAAUGGACCAGUCAGCAGGAUGUGGGCGGGGUCAAAUAAAGGAAUAAAAAGCUGGUAGCCGAGCCGGCAGUGGCAAACCGUUUGGGUCCUUCUCGGUACCCUGGUGGCUUUGUUGUUUUGCUCUUUGCAAUAGAUCUUGUUGCCGCUUGCUCUUUGGGGCCUCACUGCCUUUAUGAGCUAUAACACUCCCCGCAGAGGUCUGCAGCUUCAUUCUUGAAGCCAGCGAGACCACGAACCCACUGGGAGGAACCAACAACUCCAAACGCGCCACCUGUAAGAGCUGUAACACUCCCUGUGAAGGUCUGUGGCUUCACUCCUGAAGUCAGCGAGACCAGGAACCCACCGGAAGGAACUCCGGACACAAAGAACUGCAACACUCACCCGAGGGUCUGUGGCUUCAUUCUUGAAGUCAGUGAGAUUAAGAACCCACCGGAAGGAACCAGUUCCGGACGUGCCGAGUUCAAGCAAUUGUCCUGCCUCAGUCUCCGGAGUAACUGGGAUUACAGGUGCACGCUGCCAUGCCCAGCUAAUUUGUAUUUUAGUAGAGUCGAGGUUUCACCGCGUUGCCCAGGCUGGUCUCGAAUUCCUGAGCUUGGGCAACCCACUCACCUCGGCCUCCCAAAGUGCUAGGAUUACAGGCGUGAGCCACCAGGCCGGGCCCGUAUGGUGGUUUCUACUCCGGACUGACUCUCCCGGGUCUUGGUCACUCUGCAGAAUCCUGGACCGGAAGGGGGCCUCGGCCAGGGGAGGGCUUGCGAGGAGCCCCGGACCUACUGGCCAUUAUAGGGUGACGGGAAGUUCCUUGCAUCCCGGGAUCCCAUGGCACUUGGUCAGGGAAGCCUCCCCAGAGAGGCCCAACUCCCCAGAUCCAGGUGGGGAAUCAGGGUACCAGCCAGGCAGUGUUCCCACCCCAGCCAUGCUGCUGGCUUCCGUCCCUGUGGUGGGGUCACCCAGGUGGCUCAUGCCUCCACGCACAGCCUUGUGGACACCCCCACACCGCCCAUAGUCAAGUCAGAGCUCACGAGCCCACAGGGCAGAUACCCGCCACGAGGGGACGGUGGGCCAGGAGGGUCCUCUGUGGGCAGCGCCGUGUUCCUGAUCUCCCCAGGCUGCUGGGGGAUGGGGUGGGGCAGAGGAGGCCACCUUCCCAUUUCCCACUUUGCUGGGUCUCCCUCUUUGCUGGACAGUGCUGGGGCAGGUUACACACCCAUGACAGUGUGAGGACUGAGGGUGCGCGUCCUGGAGCCUUCAGGGCUUGGGUGGAGGGGGCAGCUUGUCCCCCUGAGGCCUGGGCCAGAGAUCCCAUUCUGAAUGCGGAGAGCCAAGAUUCUACCUGGAUCCUGGCCUUGUGGGUCACUGUGACGGCCCAGAGCUGACUUUAUGUGACAGUUUGUCCUGAGAUUUAAAACUGAAUAUUUAGACUCGUGGGAUCUGGGCAUCCACUUCAACCAAGGAUGGGGACAGGCAGCAGGGUGGAGGGUGGACGAUGCAGGAAGAUGCUGUAGGACCAAGAACAAGGGGGCUGUGAGGCAAAGGAGCAGCACGAGGAGCCGUGUGUGCCCACUGCCACUUGCAGCCUCAUUUCUCAACCCGACUGUGAUGACUGCCGCUUGCUGGAAAGAUGCUCUGAAGACACAAUGAACUGACAAUGCGUCACCCCGACUCCUGCCUGAGCCACUCCAUUCCUUAAAGACGGUACGUGACUCACGUCCUUGCUGUGUCCUGCACGAGAUAAGGUCUGGCAGGGUUGGUAAUUAUGCCUCUGGGAUCUGUAACCAGACAUUCUCUGUAACCAUUCUGUAUAAUCUGGACGUUCUCUGUAAUCCAGAUGUUCUGUGUAAACUGAAGUUCUCUGUAAUUGGACUUUCUCUAUAACCAGUUGUCCUCUGUAACCUUCUCUAUAAUCCAGAUGUUCUUUGCAACCAGAUAUUCUCUCUAACCAGACAUUCUGUAUAAUCCAGACAUUCUCUGUAACCAGAUGUUUUCUAUAAUCCAGAUUUUUUUUUUUUUUUGAGACAGUUGCACUCUUUUUGCCCAGGCUGGAGUGCAAUGGUGAGAUCUUGGCUCCCUGCAACCUCCACCUCCCAGGUUCAAGCGAUUCUCCUGCUUCAACCUCCCUAGUAGCUGAGAUUACAGGCAUGCACCACCAUGCUUAGCUAAUUUUGUAUUUUUAGUAGAGACGGGGUUUCUUCAUGUUGGUCAGACUGCUCUCAAACUCCUGACCUCAGGUGAUCCGCCCACCUCGGCCUCCCAAAGUGCUGGGAUGACAGACGUGAGCCACCGCACCCGGCCCUGGAUGUUCUUUUUAAUCCAGAUAUUCUCUGUAAUCCAGACGUUCUCUACAACCAGACAUUCUCUGUAAUCGGACAUUCAGUACAAUCCAGGCUUUCUCCGUAACCAGACGUUCUCUAUAAUCCAGACGUUCUCUGUAACCCACACGCAGCUCCGUGUGACUCUGCUCUUCCGUGACUUCUGCGUCUAUAAUCCAGACGUUCUCUGUAACCCACGUGCAGCUCCGUGUGACCCUGCUCUUCCGUGACUUCUGCGUCUAUAAUCCAGACGUUCUCUGUAACCCACUGCAGCUCCGUGUGACUCUGCUCUUCCGUGACUUCUGCGUCUAUAAUCCAGACGUUCUCUGUAACCCACUGCAGCUCCGUGUGACUCUGCUCUUCCGUGACUUCUGCAUCUAUAAUCCAGACGUUCUCUGUAACCCACUGCAGCUCCGUGUGACUCUGCUCUUCCGUGACUUCUGCGUCUAUAAUCCAGACGUUCUCUGUAACCCACUGCAGCUCCGUGUGACUCUGCUCUUCCGUGACUUCUGCGUCUAUAAUCCAGACGUUCUCUGUAACCCACUGCAGCUCCGUGUGACUCUGCUCUUCCGUGACUUCUGCGUCUAUAAUCCAGACGUUCUCUGUAACCCACUGCAGCUCCGUGUGACUCUGCUCUUCCGUGACUUCUGUGCACAUUUCGAGCUGCAUCACCAGAGCUGUGCCAGGAGCUGGGACUGUUCCGCAGCAGCCUGACCAUGUGCCUCUGAAAGACCCCUCCCGGGCUGCAGUGCUCAGAAAAACUUCCAAAUAAGAUGAACUUCCCUUAUUUAAAAGCUUGACUCCUUUUUUAGUGGACAGGGCUAUGAGCUGAGGGACACGAGACGUCCAGGACAGGAGGGCCGGCCUUGUCUCAGGCCCUGCUCCCUCACCAAAGGCUCUGUGCUCUGUUCUCCUUCUGAGCCAGCUGUCCUGAAACGGAGGCCCUUUUGUGACCCGACUUGGUCUGUUGGCGGGGGACAGACACCAAGGCCAUGUCUCACACCGGUCAUGGCCAGCCCCCGGCCCUCCUUCCCUCCUCCCCUCCUUCCCUGCUGUAGCCUUUAGGGUUCAGACCCUGGCUGUCCUGUCCUCAUUGGGGCUGAUGCCCUGCCAUGCCCCCCAGGAGCCCCCGUGCUCGGCAGGCUUGGGCUGGGAGGCGCAGUCUCCAGUCUCCAGCAGACACCACCUUACCCAGGUACAUGGCACUUUCCUCAUUAGGGUGACAUUUUCCUCAUCAGUGAGGCUCUCGCCUCCUGAGUUGCACCACCCCUGCGCCAGCGUGGUUGGUCUCCAGAGUCAUACAUGAGCAUGGCGGGCUUGCCUCCAGGAACCAGAGGGUCCUCUGGGGGUUGGGGCACAAGGGGCCGCCCUGACCUCCCCAGACCCUAAUGCGAUUCCCACAGCUCUCGUCCACGAAGCACCAGGCCUCGGCCACGUUUCUAAUCUCGUGAUCCCUCCUGGAAAUCCCAGACAUGACAGAUCCCAACGGGGUGAUGCUUGCAUCACUGAACCAACCCCAGGACACCGGAGAGCUGGCCGUGUGGGGAACCCGUGGAUCCACCUGGGCCCUGGAGCUGGGGAUGUUGGUAGUGUGCGGGGAGGCGGCAAGGCAAGACGGGCAGGAGGAGGCAGCUCUGUCCAGGGCCCAGGCGUCCCUCACGCCGUUUCCAGGCACCCGCAGACUUCAGGAGUCUUAGUCAUCGUUGGGUGUUUGGGGCUCUCUAGUCCCAGUAGGUGCUGGGACUCUCAAACCUCACAGCUACCACCCUGGUGCUAUCGUUACGGACGAUCGCACUUUUGAGAAAAUUGGGCACCGUUGCCAGAGCAGCAGUUAGGCCUCAAGCCAACUAGGCUCCAGAGCGCCUGCCGCCAACCAUCAUACCACAGGGCACGGUCUCGGAUAUUAAACGUCUGGUUGGA